rnacentral:rRNA from 1 species
AAGUCGUAACAAGGUUCCNGUAGGUGAACCUGCGGAAGGAUCAUUAUUGAAAUAAUCNUGAUGGGUUGCUGCUGGUUCUCUAGGGAACAUGUGCACACUUGUCAUCUUUAUAUCUUCACCUGUGCACCUUUUGUAGGCCUAGAUAUUUUUCAGAGUGCCUCCCAGCAUUCUGGUAUGAGGAAUGACUUUGCUGUCUUUCCUUACAUUUUUAGGCCUAUGUUUCUUCAUAUACCCCAAUGUAUGUUACAGAAUGUAGUCAAUAGGUGUUUGUGCCUAUAAAUCUAUACAACUUUCAGCAACGGAUCUCUUGGCUCUCGCAUCGAUGAAGAACGCAGCGAAAUGCGAUAAGUAAUGUGAAUUGCAGAAUUCAGUGAAUCAUCGAAUCUUUGAACGCACCUUGCGCUCCCUGGUAUUCCGAGGAGCACGCCUGUUCGAGUGUCGUGAAAUUCUCAGGCUGGGGGUCUCUUUUCAAAAGUAGGCCUUUGCUUGGUUAUUGGGCUUUGCUGUGUUCAUUCGCUUGGGAUGGCUAGCCUUAAAGACAUUAGCUGACCUCCGAUGUGGAAUUGGUUCUACUCAGCGUGAUAAUGACCUGACCGCUGAGGACAUCUUUUGUGAUGGCCAGCUCCCAUUGAGGUUGCUUCUAACGAAUGGUAUUACGGAUUCCUUUAUGGAUCUGUUUUGCUUCUUUCAUUUUGACCUCGAAUCAGGUGGGACUACCCGCUGAACUUAA